rnacentral:rRNA from 1 species
CACGAAACAAGAUGAGCUAACAAAUAGUCUUUUUUAGAGGGGAGCAUAUGUUGCAUAAUAUUUUAAAACUGCUUGUUAGGGGCGAUAUACUUUUCAAAUCUUGUGAUAACUUGAUGUUUUCAAAAUAUAUUAAGUAUUUAUUCAACUAUAAAGUGCUUAGAUUUUAUAGAUACACAAAGAACUUUAGCUAUUUUUUGUAUGGUUUAACAAUCAACAAGUUAAUAGAUUAUUAUACUAAUGGUUAAAUUGUUAUCUUUAAAAAACAGUAAAUAAUUAUAAAUAAUAUUUAAAAUGUUGUUAUAAGUAAUAAAUAGGUAUUCCAAAUGAACUCGGCAAAAUACUUUUCAACUGUUUAUCAAAAACAUAGCUAUUAGAAUUAAAUAAUAGUGAAUUCUGCUCAAUGAAUCUUAAAUAGCCGCAGUACACUGACUGUGCAAAGGUAGCAUAAUCAGUUGGCUUAUAAUUGAAGUCUUGUAUGAAUGAAUAAAUGGGGAGUAACUGUAUCAGAAUAGAAAAUGAAAUUGCUCAGUGAGUGCAAAUUCUUACAAAUACAUAAUAGACGAGAAGACCCUAGAAAUUUUAAAUAUCUGUACAUUUUUUUUUUUGUUGGGGCAACAGUGUAACAGACAAUUUACAUUAUAGUACAAGAAAUUUAUUUGAAAGAAUGAAAUUACUCUAGGGAUAACAGCGUAAUAUUCACAUGUUUGCGACCUCGAUGUUGGACUAGGAAGCGAAUACUUAGAAGGUUAGUUGCAACGC